rnacentral:rRNA from 1 species
GAUGAACGCUGGCGGCGUGCCUAAUACAUGCAAGUCGAGCGAACGGACGAGAAGCUUGCUUUUCUGAUGUUAGCGGCGGACGGGUGAGUAACACGUGGAUAACCUACCUAUAAGACUGGGAUAACUUCGGGAAACCGGAGCUAAUACCGGAUAAUAUUUUGAACCGCAUGGUUCAAAAGUGAAAGACGGUCUUGCUGUCACUUAUAGAUGGAUCCGCGCUUCAUUAGCUAGUUGGUAAGGUAACGGCUUACCAAGGCAACGAUGCAUAGCCGACCUGAGAGGGUGAUCGGCCAGACUGGAACUGAGACACGGUCCAGACUCCUACGGGAGGCAGCAGUAGGGAAUCUUCCGCAAUGGGCGAAAGCCUGACGGAGCAACGCCGCGUGAGUGAUGAAGGUCUUCGGAUCGUAAAACUCUGUUAUUAGGGAAGAACAUAUGUGUAAGUAACUGUGCACAUCUUGACGGUACCUAAUCAGAAAGCCACGGCUAACUACGUG